rnacentral:rRNA from 1 species
ACCAGACUCCUACGGGAGGCAGCAGUGGGGGAUAUUGGACAAUGGGGGAAACCCUGAUCCAGCGACGCCGCGUGAGUGAAGAAGUAUUUCGGUAUGUAAAGCUCUGUCAGCAGGGAAGAAAGAAAUGACGGUACCUGACCAAGAAGCCCCGGCUAACUACGUGCCAGCAGCCGCGGUAAUACGUAGGGGGUAAGCGUUAUCCGGAUUUACUGGGUGUAAAGGGAGUGUAGGUGGCAUAACAAGUCAGGAGUGAAAGCCCGGGGCUCAACCGCGGGACUGCUUUUGAAACUGUUAAGCUUGAGUGCAAGAGAGGUAAGCGGAAUUCCUAGCGGAGCGGUGAAAUGCGU